rnacentral:lncRNA from 1 species
CGACAAGACCCAAGAUCAUCAGGAAAUGCAUGGGAACUUUUGAAGAAAUUUAAGGUGCUUGCUGCUACCAGGCAAGGACAAGGUCUGAUGCUGUUGGAGGGAGCAAGAAAAUGGGCACAGAAGGUUAGCCAUGCACUCUACAUUGAUGACAUCGAGAUCCACAGCAGCUUUCAGGAUGAAUCAAGAUGAAGAAAUGUGAUUAUUAAGGAAUAUGGCAAAACCUGGAGAAAUAAACUGCUCAGUGCUGGACA